CUCAACCUCUGUAUAGGCUAAAAAGAAGCAGAAGCACCACACAAGAUGUCCCACAGCACGUCCAAGCAGUCCAAGAUCGGACAAGAACUGAAGAAGCACUGGUGGACUGCAUUGUGUCUUCAAAGGGAACAGAGCAGCAUUUAGUGGAUGUUCUCAAUGGGAAACCAUCAAAGUGGUUCCCCCUAAAGCCACGUGUGCCAAUCUUCAUGGACAGUGAGCAGCAGUGUGCCAUUCUUUUUGAACACCUCAAAGCUCUGCUACACAAUUGUAAAACUCAACUGAACUUCACAAAUGAAGUGGAGUUCAUUUGUAGUUUUCUUUUUCCUGAGGCCAUCAUUCAUGGCCUAUGUGAGCUGCAGGCAUUAUCCUGGCAGGAGGCUGAGGAGGUGUUCCUUCGUGGCCCUACUUAUCACCCUAGGU